rnacentral:lncRNA from 10 species
GGGACGCGGGGGCCGCCGCCGCUCAGUCCCUCCUCCUGGCUCCCGCAGGCACCCCCAGUCCCGCCUCCCUCCUUCAUUUCCUUGUUUUGGAACCUGGUGGGCCGCGCCGUGGCUUCCUCGAGCUCAUUAGGACGUCCUCGUUGGUGCGUGGGUAUCCCCAGGCUUUGGCUUCUUUCCCGCUCUUGAUUGGUGAUUGGAUGUGCUCGGUUCUUCCUGAUAGGUUGAUCUUUUUUCUUUACGAUGCAAAAACCGUAUUUCAAAAACUGAACCUUCAGCAGUUUCCU